rnacentral:rRNA from 1 species
ACCCAGACUCCUACGGGAGGCAGCAGUGGGGAAUAUUGCACAAUGGGGGAAACCCUGAUGCAGCGACGCCGCGUGAGUGAAGAAGUAUUUCGGUAUGUAAAGCUCUAUCAGCAGGAAAGAAAAUGACGGUACCUGACUAAGAAGCCCCGGCUAACUACGUGCCAGCAGCCGCGGUAAUACGUAGGGGGCAAGCGUUAUCCGGAUUUACUGGGUGUAAAGGGAGCGUAGACGGUGAAGCAAGUCUGAAGUGAAAGGCGGGGGCUCAACCCCCGGACUGCUUUGGAAACUGUUUGACUGGAGUGCAGGAGAGGUAAGUGGAAUUCCUAGUGUAGCGGUGAAAUGCGUAAAUAUUAGGAGGAACACCAGUGGCGAAGGCGGCCUGCUGGGCUUUAACUGACGCUGAGGCUCGAAAGCGUGGGUAGCAAACAGGAUUAGAUACCCGUGUA